AAGCGCUUGCAACCAGACUUGCGGGCGGUCGAUCAUCCGAGGUUCUCCCCGGUGCACUCGAUCGUUCUCAGGCCAGCAUCGGUUUCCGGGGUGGGAUAAAGGCGGUGGGAAUGUGGCUCUUCGGAGUGUUAUAGCCCAUUGUGUAAUACCCUGUGGUGGACUGAGGUUCGCGCAUCUGCAAGGAUGCUGGCGUAAUGGUCAUCA
rnacentral:rRNA from 1 species